AACGAACGCUGGCGGCAUGCCUAACACAUGCAAGUCGAACGAGAUCUUCGGGUCUAGUGGCGCACGGGUGCGUAACGCGUGGGAAUCUGCCCUUUGGUUCGGAAUAACAGUUGGAAACGACUGCUAAUACCGGAUGAUGACGAAAGUCCAAAGAUUUAUCGCCAGAGGAUGAGCCCGCGUAGGAUUAGCUAGUUGGUGUGGUAGAGGCGCACCAAGGCGACGAUCCUUAGCUGGUCUGAGAGGAUGAUCAGCCACAUUGGGACUGAGACACGGCCCAGACUCCUACGGGAGGCAGCAGUGGGGAAUAUUGGACAAUGGGCGAAAGCCUGAUCCAGCAAUGCCGCGUGAGUGAUGAAGGCCUUAGGGUUGUAAAGCUCUUUUACCCGGGAUGAUAAUGACAGUACCGGGAGAAUAAGCUCCGGCUAACUCCGUGCCAGCCGCCGCAGUAA
rnacentral:rRNA from 1 species